rnacentral:rRNA from 1 species
UACGUAGGGUGCAAGCAUUAUCCGGAGUGACUGGGCGUAAAGAGUUGCGUAGGCGGCUUAAUAAGUGAAUAGUGAAACCUGGUGGCUCAACCAUACAGACUAUUAUUCAAACUGUUAAGCUCGAGAAUGGUAGAGGUAACUGGAAUUUCUUGUGUAGGAGUGAAAUCCGUAGAUAUAAGAAGGAACACCAAUGGCGUAGGCAGGUUACUGGACCAUUUCUGACGCUGAGGCACGAAAGCGUGGGGAGCGA